GACGAACGCUGGCGGCGUGCUUAACACAUGCAAGUCGAACGGAAAGGCCCCUUUGGGGGUACUCGAGUGGCGCACGGGUGCGUAACACGUGAGUAACCUGCCCUUGACUUCGGGAUAACUUCAGGAAACUGGGGCUAAUACCGGAUAGGAAUCCUUGCUGCAUGGUGGGGGUUGGAAAGCUUCGGCGGUUUUGGAUGGACUCGCGGCUUAUCAGCUUGUUGGUGGGGUAGUGGCUUACCAAGGCUUUGACGGGUAGCCGGCCUGAGAGGGCGACCGGCCACAUUGGGACUGAGAUACGGCCCAGACUCCUACGGGAGGCAGCAGGGGGGAAUAUUGCACAAUGGGCGGAAGCCUGAUGCAGCAACGCCGCGUGCGGGAUGACGGCCUUCGGGUUGUAAACCGCUUUCAGCAGGGGCGAAGCUUGUGGUGACGGUACCUGCAGAAGAAGCACCGGCUAACUACGUG
rnacentral:rRNA from 1 species